rnacentral:tRNA from 1 species
GGCGACGUAGCUCAGUUGGUUAGAGCAACGGAAUCAUAAUCCGCAGGUCCAGGGUUCGAAUCCCCGCGUCGCUA